AUGUACAGACGCUAAAAAGAAGGAAGAAAAAGAGCAGAAAAAAGAAGAAGUCUACAAAACAUUUAGAACUUCAGGAAGUGACCCAGGACCACUAUGAUGAUUUGCCUUCAUUAGGUACACCUUCUAUAGGCACUGAGAAGGCUUCCUUGUAAAAGUAUCUUGAAUUCUUCUAAGAUGGCUACGCGUUCAGUGACUACACCAAAAGAAAAAAAAAAGGUUAAACGCCUUGGUUUCACAUGUCGCAAUUUUUGGCGUGCGUCUAGAGGAGUUUUAAGAGUGUAAAAGAAAUAAAAAAAAUACUG
rnacentral:ribozyme from 1 species